AGAGCGAACGCUGGCGGCAGGCCUAACACAUGCAAGUCGAGCGCCCGUAGCAAUACGGGAGCGGCAGACGGGAUAGUAACACGUGGGAACGCGCCCUUCGGUUCGGAAUAACUCAGGGAAACUUGAGCUAAUACCGAAUACGCCCUUACGGGGAAAGAUUUAUUGCCGAAGGAACGGCCCGCGUCCGAUUAGCUAGUUGGUGGAGUAAAGGUCUACCAAGGCGACGAUCGGUAGCUGGUCUGAGAGGAUGAUCAGCCACACUGGGAUUGAGAACGGCCCCAGACUCCUACGGGGGGCAGCAGUGAGGAAUUUUCGUCAAUGGGAGCAACCCUGAACGAGCAACGCCGCGUGCAGGAAGACACUUUUCGGAGCGUAAACUGCUUUUCUCGGGGACGAGUAAGGACGGUACCCGAGGAAUCAGCCCCGGCUAACUACGCGCCAGCAGCCGAC
rnacentral:rRNA from 1 species